UACGAAGGGGGCUAGCGUUGCUCGGAAUCACUGGGCGUAAAGGGUGCGUAGGCGGGUCUUUAAGUCAGGGGUGAAAUCCUGGAGCUCAACUCCAGAACUGCCUUCGAUACUGAGAGUCUCGAGUCCGAGAGAGGUGAGUGGAACUGCGAGUGUAGAGGUGAAAUUCGUAGAUAUUCGCAAGAACACCGGUGGCGAAAGCGGCGCGCUGGGUCUCUUCUGACGCUGAGGCGCGAAAGCCAGGGGAGCGAACGGG
rnacentral:rRNA from 1 species